rnacentral:rRNA from 1 species
GCUUAGCGCCAUAUCACGCCGAAAGCACCGGUUCUCGUCUGAUCACCGAAGUUAAGCAACGUCAACCCUAAAUAGUACUUAGAUGGGCAACCGAUUGGGAAACCUAGGUGCCGUAAGCA